rnacentral:piRNA from 1 species
UCCAUGCAGUGUUAGUGACAGAAAGUCUU